rnacentral:rRNA from 1 species
UACGAAGGGGGCUAGCGUUGCUCGGAAUGACUGGGCGUAAAGGGCGCGUAGGCGGAUGGCACAGUCAGAUGUGAAAUUCCCGGGCUUAACCUGGGGGCUGCAUUUGAUACGUGUUGUCUAGAGUGAGGAAGAGGGUUGUGGAAUUCCCAGUGUAGAGGUGAAAUUCGUAGAUAUUCGCAAGAACACCGGUGGCGAAGGCGGCCAACUGG